rnacentral:rRNA from 1 species
GACGAACGCUGGCGGCGUGCUUAACACAUGCAAGUCGAACGGAAAGGCCCUGCUUGCAGGGUGCUCGAGUGGCGAACGGGUGAGUAACACGUGGGUGAUCUGCCCCUUACUUUGGGAUAAGCCUGGGAAACUGGGUCUAAUACUGGAUAGGACCAUGCUGUAGGUGGUGUGGUGGAAAGAUUAGUUUCGGUAAGGGAUGAGCUCGCGGCCUAUCAGCUUGUUGGUGGGGUAAUGGCCUACCAAGGCGUCGACGGGUAGCCGGCCUGAGAGGGUGGACGGCCACGUUGGGACUGAGAUACGGCCCAGACUCCUACGGGAGGCAGCAGUGGGGAAUAUUGCACAAUGGGCGCAAGCCUGAUGCAGCGACGCCGCGUGGGGGAUGACGGCCUUCGGGUUGUAAACUCCUUUCAGCCAUGACGAAGCCCUUGUGGUGACGGUAGUGGUAGAAGAAGCACCGGCUAACUACGUG